AUCCGCUGGCGUGGCGAUUUGUUACCGGAUUGCGGGCCACGUUAAACAUGCCGCUAAAGAGGUCGAGACGAAGGAGCC
rnacentral:ncRNA from 2 species